AUGGAAAAGGUUCUUACUUUCAUGAUGCAAGAUGAAGAUUCGUGGUACAAAGGAGUAAAUAGAUUCCUGCACAGUGCAUCAAACCAAACCAAAGAGACAAAAGACUUUUUUGGCCAGAGGAAGAGGAAGGGUGUCCCUCAAAACAAACAUUACAUACAACACAGAGUGUUGGGGGGAAAUUGGAGAGUUGCAAAGCAAAUGAGGCCACAUGCUCAAAACAGCAUUUUAAAAAAGUGCAUUGAAAUGAAGCUGAUUAGAUUCUUCUGGACACAGUUCGAGCAUCACCUCUCUAGAAGCAUAACUUGUUGUGACCCCCAUCACCAUCAGUGCAAAAUGAUGUACAGUCAAGUGGCAAAUCAUGAGGAAACUCAGAAGCCUUCAAUACUAGGGUUGGAUGUGAAUGCCUUCUCACAAGUUGGUGUGAGGCCUGAGCGGGACCUGGUACCUCGUAUGCUGCCUACAUGAAAUCACGUCCGUCCACGGUGCUGACGAUGCUGCAGGUGAGGAUUCGCAGGCCACGAUUCUGAUGACAGCACCACUAUCCACCCCUUCCUCCAUCCCUCCCCCUCAGCAUUCCGUCCUCAGCAAGUGAACGGAUCUUGCCCUGCCCUCCCCAAGCAUCGCCCCGUUCGACCACCUGCUCUCCUUUCCCCAACCCAGCUGACUAAAGCGCUGGAGAAGACAGACCCCAGUCUGUCAGGAUCCCCCACCCCUGGAGAUAGGACGUUGGGCAAGGGACUUGAUAUCCCUGAGCCUCUGUAACUGUGCUGCUUCUUACCUUACUAGGUACUGUGAGAUUUAGUGAGACUGUGAAUCAGUUAACCCAGAGCCAGGCCCAGAGCAAACAUUAGCUUCUGUGUUCAUCUUCUUGGACUGGGCCUGCUGCUCAGCCCUGGGGCCAGAGCUGGGAAAGACGCGGGCACUGCUUCCAGGCCUCCACACUCAGGUGUGGGAGAUGGACACCUGCAUAGCAGCUGGAACUCAGGGUGCCAGAGGCGGCUGUAGGGGCCGCUCCAGGAGGCCUCCCAGAGGGGUCCACACUGGGAGGUGGGCAGGGGGUGCCGGGUGGCAUUGCGGGCUGAGCACUGCACACACGAGCAGAGACACUGAAGCCUGUUCCAAACACACCCCGAUGCUAAAGCCGCCAACCCAAGUUGCUUGCAGGAGUCUGAAGAGAGA
rnacentral:lncRNA from 1 species